GAUCAUUAUAGAAUAAAUAUCCUGGAUUGACACUGGGUGCUAGUUUGAGUGGUUGUAAGGUUGACCUGCGCUUAAUUGCGCGGUUGGUUGCACUGCUUUUAAGCUGGUGCUAAUUAUAAACGGUGUCUUUCUGCUUUACACACUGUGGAGAUUUCUUCUUUCAGUAUUUUUCUUUGGGUUCAUUUUUGAGCCCAGAGGUAUUAAACACAAACAAUUUUGUAAUUUUAUACUAGUCUAGAUCAGUUUUAUUUUGAAACUACAAACUUCAAAACUUUCAACAACGGAUCUCUUGGUUCUCGCAUCGAUGAAGAACGCAGCGAAAUGCGAUACGUAAUGUGAAUUGCAGAAUUCCGUGAAUCAUCGAAUCUUUGAACGCACAUUGCGCCCCUUGGUAUUCCAGGGGGCAUGCCUGUUUGAGCGUCAUUUCCUUCUCAAACACCUGUGUUUGGUUGUGAGUGAUACUCUCUCUUUUGAGUUAGCUUGAAAGUGUUGGCCGAUUGCAGUUGUAUUGCAAAUGUGUACAGUUUUAGAUUGAGUAGUGUUGUGUGUGUGAAUUUUAUUUACACGGGCAAGCUGUCCAUUCAACUGUGUGUAUUUUGAGAUACUGUGCUGUGAAGAUGUACAAGGUCGUAUUAGGUUUUACCAACUCGAUUGCGUGUGUUUUUAUGGUUGUGGUAUGUUUGAGAUAUGCAUGGGGAUUAGUGAGUCUAGCAAUAUUGCUUUUCUGAGUUGUGCUUUAUUUUGUUUUUUCUGUGGCGAACAAU
rnacentral:misc_RNA from 1 species